UAUUGGUCAAUGGGCUUACGCCUGAACCAGCCAAGUCGCGUGAGGGAAGACUGCCCUAUGGGUUGUAAACCUCUUUUGUCAGGGAGCAAUUGGCGCUACGUGUAGCGUUAUCGAGAGUACCUGAAGAAAAAGCAUCGGCUAACUCCGUGCCAGCAGCCGCGGUAAUACGGAGGAUGCGAGCGUUAUCCGGAUUUAUUGGGUUUAAAGGGUGCGUGGGCGGAAUGCCAAGUCAGCGGUAAAAUCGCGGGGCUCAACCUCGCUCCGCCGUUGAAACUGCAUCCCUUGAGUGCGCGAGAAGUAUGCGGAAUGCGUGGUGUAGCGGUGAAAUGCGUAGAUAUCGCGCAGAACUCCGAUUGCGAAGGCAGCAUGCCGGCUCCACACUGACGCUGAGGCACGAAAGCGUGGGUAUCGA
rnacentral:rRNA from 1 species